CUCGAUCAGAAUAUUUUACGCAUGCGCAUCAAGAAUGGAUUAGAAGCAGUUUCAAACUUGUAAGAAAUUUGCAGUGAGAACAAACCUUCGGUCGCCCCUGUCCUUAUCAUCAAUGUCAAUGGAAUUUCUGCAACACGCAUUUCUUUAUAUACUUAGUGUUCUUUGCAUUUUUUGUUUUUGUGGUGUUACUUUUGAAGUUACUGACUUGAAGUAAUAUUUUGAUUGUAAAAUAGUAAAUACUAAAUACAUAGAAACGAAUAAACGCUGCGUGCUAGUACUGUGUAAAGGCUCUUUUUUCUGUCCAACUUUCUAGCGGAAUCGAUGCAGCUUUUUAGUGGACUAUUUUUUGACAAUUUUGUGUUCUGGGGUUCAGGCUAAAGUUGCCAGAGUAUUUUACAAGAAAUUUAGUUAAGAUGCCUUGUGCUGUUAAGACCCACAGGUCCUUAUGGAGAGAUUUGGCAGCAAAUGAAAACAUAUCUUUUUAUCAAAAUAAUUCAAUAGAAACAAUAAUAAUAGUUAAACGAUAUAAAUAGUGUUCUUAGCAACCAUUGUUUGAAUUUUAUUUUGGUUCAUUUUGUAACAUCUCAAAGAAGACAAUGGAUGUUUAUGAAAUGGCGGAAAGCCUACAAGCGGUAAUGGAGUGUGUACUGUUGGAACCUCAACCCAAUUAGGGAAACUUAACCAACCCAACCCAAGCAAACUACCCAAUCCUCUCAACCAAGUAAUAAUAAGGAAAAUGCUAAUAGCAGAGGAACUAGAAUGGGAAGACAGGGAGGCCUAGAGAGCACUUAAUUCUUCACAAAUAAAAACCGCUAUUGUCUGCCGUGAUCAACGCGGUGAUCAGUUUAAAACAGACGGCAAUGAAUAGAGGAGGCUACAGGGCCAUUACCAUAGUCGAGGCAGGGGUGGGGGGAAGCAUUAAAUAUUUGUUUAAUUUUUGUUGUAAAUUGUGAUUUUUUUUAUAUACAUAUUAUACAUACAUGAGUUUAAUAUAGCAUACAUAGGUAUAA